rnacentral:misc_RNA from 1 species
GAUGAAGAACGUAGCGAAAUGCGAUACGUAAUGUGAAUUGCAGAAUUCAGUGAAUCAUCGAGUCUUUGAACGCACAUUGCGCCCCCUGGUAUUCCGGGGGGCAUGCCUGUCCGAGCGUCAUUGCUGCCCUCAAGCACGGCUUGUGUGUUGGGCCUCCGCCCCCCGGCUCCCGGGGGGCGGGCCCGAAAGGCAGCGGCGGCACCGCGUCCGGUCCUCGAGCGUAUGGGGCUUCGUCACCCGCUCCGUAGGCCCGGCCGGCGCCCGCCGGCGACCCCCCUCAAUCUUUUCAGGUUGACCUCGGAUCAGGUAGGGAUACCCGCUGAACUUAAGCAUAUCAAUAAGCGGAGGA